rnacentral:rRNA from 1 species
UACGAAGGGGGCUAGCGUUGCUCGGAAUCACUGGGCGUAAAGGGUGCGUAGGCGGGUCUUUUAAGUCAGGGGUGAAAUCCUGGAGCUCAACUCCAGAACUGCCUUUGAUACUGAGGAUCUUGAGUUCGGGAGAGGUGAGUGGAACUGCGAGUGUAGAGGUGAAAUUCGUAGAUAUUCGCAGGAACACCAGUGGCGAAGGCGGCUUACUGGUCCAUUACUGACGCUGAG